CACGUAGGGCGCAAGCGUUGUCCGGAAUUAUUGGGCUUAAAGAGCUCGUAGGUGGUUUGUUACGUCUGCUGUGAAAACCUAGGGCUUAACCCUGGGCUUGCAGUGGAUACGGGCAGACUAGAGGUAGGUAGGGGAGAAUGGAAUUCCUGGUGUAGCGGUGAAAUGCGCAGAUAUCAGGAGGAACACCGGUGGCGAAGGCGGUGCUCUGGGCCUUACCUGACACUGAGGAGCGAAAGCGUGGGGAGCGAACAGG
rnacentral:rRNA from 1 species